GACGAACGCUGGCGGCGUGCUUAACACAUGCAAGUCGAACGGAAAGGCCCUGAUUUUGCGGGGUGCUCGUUAGGCGAACGGGGGAGUAACACGUGUGUAACCCCCCCUUGACUUUGGGAUAACUUCAGGAAACAGGGGCGCAUACCGGGUAGGAGCUCCUGCAGCAUGGGGGGGGUUGGAAAGAUUCGGCGGUGGGGGAUGGACUCGCGGCUUAUCAGCUUGAUGGGGGGGUAGUGGCUUACCAGGGCUUUGACGGGUAGCCUGCCUGGGCGGGUGACCGGCGACCUUGGGCCUGCGGUACGCCCCAGACUCCUACGGGAGGCAGAAGUGGGGAAUAUUGCACAGUGGGCGGAAGCCUGAUGCAGCAGCGCUGCGUGCGGGAUGACGGGCUUCUGGUUGUAAACAGAUGUCGACUGUGACGAAGCGUGAGUGACGGUACUGGGUAAAGAAGCACCGGCUAACUACGUG
rnacentral:rRNA from 1 species